GCCUAAGCCUACCCUAAAAACAGGAGGUCAUACCUGUUUGUGGAAGUUAAGCAGGGCCAGCCCUGGUUAGUACUUGGAUGGGAGACCUCCAAGGAAUGCCAGGCACUGUAGGCA
rnacentral:rRNA from 1 species